CCUACGGGGGGCUGCAGUGAGGAAUAUUGGUCAAUGGCCGAGAGGCUGAACCAGCCAAGUCGCGUGAGGGAAGACGGCCCUACGGGUUGUAAACCUCUUUUGUCGGGGAGCAAAGCGAACCACGUGUGGUUCAUUGAGAGUACCCGAAGAAAAAGCAUCGGCUAACUCCGUGCCAGCAGCCGCGGUAAUACGGAGGAUGCGAGCGUUAUCCGGAUUUAUUGGGUUUAAAGGGUGCGCAGGCGGAGGUGCAAGUCAGCGGUCAAAUGUCGGGGCUCAACCCCGGCCUGCCGUCGGAACUGGGUGCCUUGAGUGGGCGAGAAGUAUGCGGAAUGCGUGGUGUAGCGGUGAAAUGCAUAGAUAUCACGCAGAACCCCGAUUGCGAAGGCAGCAUACCGGCGCCCUACUGACGCUGAGGCACGAAAGUGCGGGUAUCGAACAGGAUUAGAUACCCUGGUAGUC
rnacentral:rRNA from 1 species